UUUUGCAUUUUAAAAUACCACUUUUGAUUUGGAUGAAACUAAAUAUCUGUACAAAGGACACAACGCAAAGUUUUUGAUUUCUCUCAAAACAUAUAUUUCUUUUCAUGUUGAACAGAUAAUAUCUUUAAUUUGAGUCAAAGUGAUUUGCACUUGAACACGCCCACCAGAAAUAGACCGGGACCCAUUUUUAUUCUGCAUGGCUGCUGGAAACAUCGUGUCACAUCUUUGAUUAAUUUCAUCUGAAAAUAAACAACCACAGAUCGCUCCAUCCAUUCCAUGGCUGAAGCAUACAUUUUCAUUUAAUCUGAACAGAUAUCCCAGAAAGAUGAAGCUGAGGAAGAGCUGCAGAGUACCACCAUGGCACUCUUCGUCUUCAGGGACAACUCAAGCCUCCUACAUCAGCCUCGAGACAUCGGGAUAAUCAUUGAUGGUGUGGAAGUCCUGAAUGAGUUGCCUUCUGUGGCAGCUGGAGUGGCAAUGGUCUUUGGACUCUGUUAUGCUCUUAAUAUGGAAUAUCCACGAGGAUUCAGGUUCACCUUUGAGGCUCUUCAAAAGAUUAUGAUGGAGCUUGACUUUAACAAGAUGACCUCUAAGAUUCGCAAACUUAAUUGUGAACUUAACACUGCACAGUAGUGUGUUUGCAUGCAUGUGUAUGUGUAUGUGCACAUGCAUGUGCAUGUGCAUGUGUGCUUGGUUAUUUUGCUUGGUUGGCCUGCAGUGGUAUUCUACAUUCAAAAUUUAUAAGAACACCCAUUUGAAAGGGAGAUUUAAGUUGAUUUCAUUGAUACAUGUGUAGAUUUAUUUUAUUUUUUUUACAUUGUACAGGCACAGUGCACAUAAACAUUUUUGAGUACUUGCAAAUUGGUUUAAAAAGAGUUUUUAUAAUGGUUUUAUGCCAGUUUUAGACAGGUUGCAGGUUUUAUACUGGUUUUCAAAAGAUUGCAGGUUUUAUAAAACAAACAUUUCUCUAAUCAUUUCUGCCGUAGCACUAAAUCUGUAUAUUACUAAUCCUCUCUAUUGAUUAUAGUUAAAAUGGUUUGGAACAAUAAAUAAUUUUGAAAUAA